UUAAGUUAUUAAGGGCGCACGGUGGAUGCCUUGGCACUAGAAGCCGAUGAAGGACGUUACUAACGACGAUAUGCUUUGGGGAGCUGUAAGUAAGCUUUGAUCCAGAGAUUUCCGAAUGGGGAAACCCAGCAUGAGUUAUGUCAUGUUAUCGAUAUGUGAAUACAUAGCAUAUCAGAAGGCACACCCGGAGAACUGAAACAUCUUAGUACCCGGAGGAAGAGAAAGAAAAUUCGAUUCCCUUAGUAGCGGCGAGCGAAACGGGAAGAGCCCAAACCAAAAAGCUUGCUUGUUGGGGUUGUAGGACACUCUAUACGGAGUUACAAAGGACGACAUUAGACGAAUCAUCUGGAAAGAUGAAUCAAAGAAGGUAAUAAUCCUGUAGUCGAAAAUGUUGUCUCUCUUGAGUGGAUCCUGAGUACGACGGAGCACGUGAAAUUCCGUCGGAAUCUGGGAGGACCAUCUCCUAAGGCUAAAUACUCUCUAGUGACCGAUAGUGAACCAGUACCGUGAGGGAAAGGUGAAAAGCACCCCGGAAGGGGAGUGAAAUAGAACCUGAAACCGUGUGCUUACAAGUAGUCAGAGCCCGUUAAUGGGUGAUGGCGUGCCUUUUGUAGAAUGAACCGGCGAGUUACGAUUUGAUGCAAGGUUAAGCAGUAAAUGUGGAGCCGUAGCGAAAGCGAGUCUGAAUAGGGCGUUUAGUAUUUGGUCGUAGACCCGAAACCAGGUGAUCUACCCUUGGUCAGGUUGAAGUUCAGGUAACACUGAAUGGAGGACCGAACCGACUUACGUUGAAAAGUGAGCGGAUGAACUGAGGGUAGCGGAGAAAUUCCAAUCGAACCUGGAGAUAGCUGGUUCUCUCCGAAAUAGCUUUAGGGCUAGCCUCAAGUGAUGAUUAUUGGAGGUAGAGCACUGUUUGGACGAGGGGCCCCUCUCGGGUUACCGAAUUCAGACAAACUCCGAAUGCCAAUUAAUUUAACUUGGGAGUCAGAACAUGGGUGAUAAGGUCCGUGUUCGAAAGGGAAACAGCCCAGACCACCAGCUAAGGUCCCAAAAUAUAUGUUAAGUGGAAAAGGAUGUGGCGUUGCCCAGACAACUAGGAUGUUGGCUUAGAAGCAGCCAUCAUUUAAAGAGUGCGUAAUAGCUCACUAGUCGAGUGACACUGCGCCGAAAAUGUACCGGGGCUAAACAUAUUACCGAAGCUGUGGAUUGUCCUUUGGACAAUGGUAGGAGAGCGUUCUAAGGGCGUUGAAGCAUGAUCGUAAGGACAUGUGGAGCGCUUAGAAGUGAGAAUGCCGGUGUGAGUAGCGAAAGACGGGUGAGAAUCCCGUCCACCGAUUGACUAAGGUUUCCAGAGGAAGGCUCGUCCGCUCUGGGUUAGUCGGGUCCUAAGCUGAGGCCGACAGGCGUAGGCGAUGGAUAACAGGUUGAUAUUCCUGUACCACCUAUAAUCGUUUUAAUCGAUGGGGGGACGCAGUAGGAUAGGCGAAGCGUGCGAUUGGAUUGCACGUCUAAGCAGUAAGGCUGAGUAUUAGGCAAAUCCGGUACUCGUUAAGGCUGAGCUGUGAUGGGGAGAAGACAUUGAGUCUUCGAGUCGUUGAUUUCACACUGCCGAGAAAAGCCUCUAGAUAGAAAAUAGGUGCCCGUACCGCAAACCGACACAGGUAGUCAAGAUGAGAAUUCUAAGGUGAGCGAGCGAACUCUCGUUAAGGAACUCGGCAAAAUGACCCCGUAACUUCGGGAGAAGGGGUGCUCUUUAGGGUUAACGCCCAGAAGAGCCGCAGUGAAUAGGCCCAAGCGACUGUUUAUCAAAAACACAGGUCUCUGCUAAACCGUAAGGUGAUGUAUAGGGGCUGACGCCUGCCCGGUGCUGGAAGGUUAAGAGGAGUGGUUAGCUUCUGCGAAGCUACGAAUCGAAGCCCCAGUAAACGGCGGCCGUAACUAUAACGGUCCUAAGGUAGCGAAAUUCCUUGUCGGGUAAGUUCCGACCCGCACGAAAGGCGUAACGAUUUGGGCACUGUCUCAACGAGAGACUCGGUGAAAUCAUAGUACCUGUGAAGAUGCAGGUUACCCGCGACAGGACGGAAAGACCCCGUGGAGCUUUACUGUAGCCUGAUAUUGAAAUUCGGCACAGCUUGUACAGGAUAGGUAGGAGCCUUUGAAACGUGAGCGCUAGCUUACGUGGAGGCGCUGGUGGGAUACUACCCUAGCUGUGUUGGCUUUCUAACCCGCACCACUUAUCGUGGUGGGAGACAGUGUCAAGCGGGCAGUUUGACUGGGGCGGUCGCCUCCUAAAAGGUAACGGAGGCGCUCAAAGGUUCCCUCAGAAUGGUUGGAAAUCAUUCAUAGAGUGUAAAGGCAUAAGGGAGCUUGACUGCGAGACCUACAAGUCGAGCAGGGUCGAAAGACGGACUUAGUGAUCCGGUGGUUCCGCAUGGA
rnacentral:rRNA from 1 species